rnacentral:lncRNA from 1 species
UCAGUCGCACACUACAGUCCUCAACCCAAUUACAAUAUAAAUCUCAAAAUUACAUCAAAUUCUCCAAUGAUUACAUAUCACAAAUGCAGCGGAAACUGAUUCCAAUCGUGGAACGUAUACUUACAUCCAUAUCAAUUUCAAAUAUUUAUACAAGACCAACUCGUACAUAAAAUAGAUCCAAACUUAAACUGUACACGAUAUAAGCCAUCCAGUCACGUGAAUAAGCACUCCAAGCUUUUCUUCGCCUUGAGCCCUGGGGGGGAAAUAAAACAUUUUUUGGGGUGAGCUAGAAGCUCAGCGAGUAACCAUUAAAAUCAGUAAUCAAAUCGGUUUCACAAUAGUUCAUUUCAAUGAUGUCAUAUAGCAAUGAUAAAUCCGGAAACAACUACAACAUUUGCAAAACAGUAAAUAUGGAUUAUCAAUAAUUCAAGAAACAUUUACAAUGGAAAGCGAUAGUAACAUUCAUGAAAGGAUACAUUCAUUCUCCUGACAUUUCCUCGCUCAUUUGGUCAUUCAUUUUAUUUCAUUCACCCCGUCCCUGGCUUUUGGCCAGGCUCCACCAACCUACAUAGGUAAUACUCGAGUAUACCAAACGUUCACCCAAGUUCCUAAUCGCCUGACCGAGUCCGCUUCUGGCUCAAGACGACCGGUAACAAGGGGCAAUGGCCAGUUCAGCCCAAAAGGCUUACAUCAUGCGCAACUAGCAUUUCAAUAAUUAAAUCCUUGAAAAUUGCACAGCUAUUUAGGUCGAGUGCGAUAAAGUACACACUCGCCUCGAAAACUCGUUUUGGAAAUCAUUAUAAGCGCUUAACACGUUAUCAACCAAAAUACAAGUCAUGAAGUCAAGAAACAUAGCAAACAAGGCACACUCAAAUGCCAGCACACAUGAUAUGCAAGAAAACAUUUCAAAAGUAACUUUGGAAACAGUUCAAAAGUAAAUAAUGUAAGAAACGGUUCAUAAAUAACUUUAGAAGUAGUUUGAGGUCACUCACCUCCACGGCUCAGAAACCAUCCAUCAUAUAUCAUUACCUUGCCCGAGUCCAAGCUCUAAAUCACAAACUCAAAGCAAUCAUACAUUCUCAAAGUUCGGACAAUAUUCCCCAUAAAUGCUUCAUUUCCAACCUACAAUAUAUUACCGAUCACACAUACGGUUAAUAAGCAAUAAAAUAUAUCUAAUUAGGCCACAAUAUCCCUCAAUCAAAGCUAAUUAGAAGCUUAAAAGCCACCAUUAGAAAAACCCCCAAUUAAACCCAGAAACCGGAAUUCAUUCCCUCAAGCGUAAAUUUGGGCAGCAUGCCCUUUGUGUUUACCUAAUUUUCCAGCCAUUUAGGCUUCAUUAUUUUUCCUUAGCCAAUCCCAAAGUCAUAUAUAUCAUAAUGCAAGUCAAUAGCCGUUCCAUAGGCUCAUAACAAUACAAGGACAAAAUUUAAGCUAACAACAAGUGUGGAAACGAAGUUUACAAAAGACAGUUUUGAUGGGUUUUUACGGAAUGGGUACAUCUGAGGCUACGCUUAUCGGAUUGAGGUGAAACAUAUACCAUUUUGAAGCUAAGACACAAGGCUACAAUGUUCAUGAAAAUCACUUAGUCCAGUUUCCAAUGCAACAUAGUCAAAUCCUCAAUUUACAGAACCAAAAUCUCACUCGUUGGCUGUCUAACCGCAUUGUACUGUAAUGGUCAUAUCUCAGGUUACAAAAGUCCGAUUCAGUUGUUCUUAGAGGCGUUUGAAAGCUAAGUAAGAAUACUACAACUUUCAUGUUUCGGAAAAAAGCUAAAUCAGAAUGGAUCCUAGUCGAAAAACGUGAUAAACUGGACUUAACUGAUCACACGGACUGCUUGGGAAAUACUUAAAACAGUAAGGGUAUUUUGGACUUUUCAUGUCCUACGUUGCUCCGAUUGAGCUGAAAUUUUGUAGGCACCUAUAAAAUACCAUUAUCUACAACUUUCAUGUUUCAUGCCAAGCCAAAUUCGGCCUCUAACUAGGUGAUACAGAAACGGGCAGAACUGAAUUUUCAAGUUCCUGAAAUCUGGAAAUUCUUGAAAUCAAAUGCUAAUUUCUUUAUUUUUGGCUUGCUUCACCAUCUUAACUUCCCAUAUUAAACUUUAAACAUCAAAGCCCCAAAUUGUAAGCACUAGAAGAAUCAUAGGGAAACUGUAAAAAUUCCAAUAAAAUGGAAAAUCAUGAUCCAAGCCUCUAUUUCACCACAUACAUCAAUAAUUCAACCAUAUGUGACAUAUUUAGCAACUAAUCACGCAUUUAAUCGAGAAUCAAGGUUCUAGCAUGUAUACCUUUCCAAGGAAACUAGAAACAAGUGUUCAAGGCCUUUGCUCCUCAAGAAAAUUACACCGGUAGGUAGCCUUUGUGCUAGAUAACAACUUAAUCGGAGUAGAUUUGCGCGAAUAGAAGAAACUUUUCAAGAUUUGGAGAAGAACAAGAUGAACUCUCUUUGUCUUUCUCUCUCUCUCUAAUUUCGGUUAUG